CCGCGGCAGUGCGAGCACUCGCGGGCGCGAUCCGGCCACUGCGUCGCGCGGGGGCUUUUGCCUGCUCCCUUUCGGGCCUGAGCCGUGCACCCCUCCUUGACCACCCAGGACCUCCCGCCUUCCGGCGGGUGACCCCUGGCGACGCAACGCUUGGCGCGGACGCCCGGUCGCCGUACCCAACGACUACCGCGGGACCCCCCCCCACC
rnacentral:sRNA from 1 species